rnacentral:tRNA from 1 species
AGGGAUGUAGCUCAGUGGCAGAGCGCUUGCCUGGCAUGUGCAAGGCCCUGGGUUCCAUCUCUA